GACGAACCGUGCGAACGUUGUUCGGAAUCACUGGGCUUAAAGGGCGCGUAGGCGGCUUGCCAAGUCGGGGGUGAAAUCCGGCAGCUUAACUGUCGAAGUGCCUUCGAUACUGGCGAGCUCGAGGGAGGUAGGGGUCUGUGGAACUUCUGGUGGAGCGGUGAAAUGCGUUGAUAUCAGAAGGAACGCCGGUGGCGAAAGCGACGGACUGGACCUCUUCUGACGCUGAGGCGCGAAAGCUAGGGUAGCAAACGGG
rnacentral:rRNA from 1 species